rnacentral:lncRNA from 1 species
CAGGAAUCGCCUGAGAACACAUAGGUGCUACCUACCUUCCUGAAGGAUCUGGUGCCCAGUGUGACAGAGAACACCUGGCAGCUCCAUUUAGGUCCCAGUGUUCCCAACCCUUGCUUUUGCUCUCAACACAAAAAGAAAUGGAGAACGAAGCCGUGAAGCCUGGUGAGGUAUUUUCUGAAGAGUGGUCCUUUGGCAUCUAAUCCCAGAACUCAAGAGGAGGAAACAGUUGUCAUAUUCAAAUUGAAGAAGCUCUAGAAGUCUGCCCCAUUUUAAACCUCUCCGGUUUUCCAUCCGAGAAACUUCAGAGACUUAAAGAAGUUUGUGGUUUGGAUCUGAAGUGUCCCUCAUAGACUACUGUGUUGAAGACUUGGUUCCCACCCAGUGCCACUAUUUUGGGAGGCUGUGGAAACCUGAGAAGGCCAGGCCUGUUUGGAGGAAGUAGGUCAGUGGAGGAGCGCCCCUAAAGGUCAUUGCUGACUCCUUGUCGUCUUCACACUCCGCCUCCUGCUCACCACGAGGUGAUAAACCUCUCCUGCUCCAUGCUUCUGCUACCAUGACAUUUUGGUCUAAAUUCAUGGAGCACAGUAGCCAUGGAGGAGUGACCCUCUAAAACUGAGAGCCAAGGGGCUGCUGAGAUGGCUCAGCGGUUAAGAGCACCAACUGCUCUUCUAAAGGUCCUGAGCUCAGAUCCCAGCAACCACAUGGUGGCUCACAACCAUCUGACUCUCUCUUCUGGUGUGUCUGAAGAAAGCUACAGUGUACUUACAAUAAAUAAAUAAAUAAAUAAAUAAAUAAAUAAAUAAAUACAUC